rnacentral:rRNA from 1 species
UACGUAGGGGCGAGCGUUGUCCGGAUUUACUGGGCGUAAAGGGUGAGUAGGCGGUUGUAUAUGUCAGGUGUAAAAAGCUAUGGCUUAACCAUAGUAAGCACUUGAAACUGGGAAACUUGAGUGCAGGAGAGGAGAGUGGAAUUCCUAGUGUAGCGGUGAAAUGCGUAGAUAUUAGGAGGAACAUCAGUGGCGAAGGCGACUUUCUGGACGAUAACUGACGCUGAGGCGCGAAAGCGUGGGGAGCAAACAGGAUUAGAUACCCUGGUAGU